rnacentral:rRNA from 1 species
AGGGUUCGAUUCUGGCUCAGGAUGAACGCUGGCGGCGUGCUUAACACAUGCAAGUCGAACGGGAUCCAUCAGGCUUUGCUUGGUGGUGAGAGUGGCGAACGGGUGAGUAAUGCGUGACCGACCUGCCCCAUGCACCGGAAUAGCUCCUGGAAACGGGUGGUAAUGCCGGAUGCUCCAUCACAUCGCAUGGUGUGUUGGGAAAGCCUUUGCGGCAUGGGAUGGGGUCGCGUCCUAUCAGCUUGAUGGCGGGGUAACGGCCCACCAUGGCUUCGACGGGUAGCCGGCCUGAGAGGGCGACCGGCCACAUUGGGACUGAGAUACGGCCCAGACUCCUACGGGAGGCAGCAGUGGGGAAUAUUGCACAAUGGGCGCAAGCCUGAUGCAGCGACGCCGCGUGAGGGAUGGAGGCCUUCGGGUUGUAAACCUCUUUUGUUAGGGAGCAAGGCACUUUGUGUUGAGUGUACCUUUCGAAUAAGCACCGGCUAACUACGUGCCAGCAGCCGCGGUAAUACGUAGGGUGCAAGCGUUAUCCGGAAUUAUUGGGCGUAAAGGGCUCGUAGGCGGUUCGUCGCGUCCGGUGUGAAAGUCCAUCGCUUAACGGUGGAUCCGCGCCGGGUACGGGCGGGCUUGAGUGCGGUAGGGGAGACUGGAAUUCCCGGUGUAACGGUGGAAUGUGUAGAUAUCGGGAAGAACACCAAUGGCGAAGGCAGGUCUCUGGGCCGUUACUGACGCUGAGGAGCGAAAGCGUGGGGAGCGAACAGGAUUAGAUACCCUGGUAGUCCACGCCGUAAACGGUGGAUGCUGGAUGUGGGGCCCGUUCCACGGGUUCCGUGUCGGAGCUAACGCGUUAAGCAUCCCGCCUGGGGAGUACGGCCGCAAGGCUAAAACUCAAAGAAAUUGACGGGGGCCCGCAC